CAGUAGCCGCGGGAAAACGUAGGGUGCGAGCGUUGUCCGGAACUACUGGGCGUAAAGAGCUCGUAGGCGGUUUGUCACGUCGUCUGUGAAAUCCUAGGGCUUAACCCUGGACGUGCAGGCGAUACGGACUGACUUGAGUACUACAGGGGAGACUGGAAUUUCUGGUGUAGCGGUGGAAUGCACAGAUAUCAGGAAGAACACCGAUGGCGAAGGCAGGUCUCUGGGUAGUAACUGACGCUGAGGAGCGAAAGCAUGGGUAGCGAACAGGAUUAGAUACCCGCGUAGUCCCUGUCUCUUAUAC
rnacentral:rRNA from 1 species